rfam:Parcubacteria bacterium GW2011_GWA2_47_10 TX72_C0042, whole genome shotgun sequence.
GGAGGGUUCGCAUAGCGGUCUAGUGCGCUUGCUUGGAAAGCAAGUAUACCUUUACCGGUAUCACAGGUUCGAAUCCUGUACCCUCCG